GUUCCAGGCCAGAGCUGUGCUGCAAAUCCACCUCACUGAAAUGAUGGAGGAAGUCUGAACCUAGAGCAGUGCGUGGAUAGUGACUUACGUUCCUGAAGAGAAUGAACGAGAUAUCAGUUUGGAAUUAUUCCUGGAAUUAGAACAGCAUGAGGUCUCCUCUAGCAAUCUAAGGUAAUACCACUGAAAUGCAAGAAAUCCGAAGUGAUGUAUGUACAGCUGACCAUGUACUGACAGUGUCAAGCCCAGCAAAUGUUCUGUACGCCUGCAGCCAAAAGAAGAAGGAGAAUGGGUAACCCCUGGGACAUUGCUCCACAAGGCAUGGCAAGC
rnacentral:lncRNA from 1 species